rnacentral:ncRNA from 1 species
GCAUGCAUGCAUGCAUGCAUGCAUGCAUGCAUGCAUGCAUGCGUGCGUGCAUGCAUGCAUGCAUGUAUGUAUUAUGUAUGUGCAUGCAUGCAUGCAUGCAUGCAUGCAUGCAUGCAUGAAUGCAUGUAUGCAUACAUGUGUAUGUAUGUAUGUAUGUGUGU